GUUUCAGCCGCCGCGGUAACACGUAGGGGGCAAGCGUUGUCCGGAUUUAUUGGGCGUAAAGAGCUCGUAGGCGGCUUAGUAAGUCGGGUGUGAAACCUCCAGGCUCAACCUGGAGACGCCACCCGAUACUGCUGUGGCUAGAGUCCGGUAGGGGAGCGUGGAAUUCCUGGUGUAGCGGUGAAAUGCGCAGAUAUCAGGAGGAACACCAGCGGCGAAGGCGGCGCUCUGGGCCGGUACUGACGCUGAGGAGCGAAAGCGUGGGGAGCAAACAGGAUUAGAUACCCCAGUAGUCC
rnacentral:rRNA from 1 species